rfam:Flavobacterium sp. LPB0076 LPBF38, whole genome shotgun sequence.
UCCUAGCCCCGAUAGUAGCGGCAUCCUUUUUAUCCUGAUUUUUUUCAGGAUAAAAAGAUAUAGCGGAUAGCGGGAUGAAGC